rnacentral:lncRNA from 1 species
CUCUGGUGUUCUAGGGCUUAUAUCAGAUAAGCAAGCAGGAAGUACAGAGGCAGAGUGACUUGUGAACUGGGGAUUGGUUCUUACAAUAUACAUCAUAGUGACCAGCUAUGCAUCACAAUGACCAGCCGUUUCUAAGAAACAAAAGUAACAGGAACUGUAACGGGAACUAUUACCUGGGCAACUAACAAACUGAAGUAUACUAGUUGGGGAGUGCAUCUUCUGUUACACUGUCAGUGUCACAUAUUUCCCCCAAUUGCUUUUAUUGGCUGUAAAGUUCAAGAUUUCAACAUCCGUGUCACCAGCCGCCAUGCAGAUCUCUGAUUCUGGUAAUGAGAAGGUAGUAGAGGAGGAACUGUGGUCCCCACAGGGAGGAGGAACUUUCAGAGUUUUCAAGUACUCACAGAGGUCUUGAGGAGGAUUCUUGGCUCCCUGAUGAGUGGCUCACAUUGGACCUGAAAGAAAGGAGGAAACAGUCUGUCUACCUGUCUGCCUGCUUGCCUGAUUCUGAAUCACUUGGAGUUCAUUUGGAGGAGCUUGUCCAACAGCAGCAUUGAAGAUCUCCACACACUUUUCAAGCACUGUCAUCUUUACUCAUUCAGUAUGCUGUCAAGUCUUAAACUUUUCAAGGUUAGAACUGCAUUGAGAUUUUGGGGGAGGGUCUCAUAUAUCAUCUUUAGAAAACUAAAUAUUUACUAUUGUAAGAGUUCCAGUUGGUGGCAAUUUGCGAUAAUGUAUUACUAAUAUGGAAACAAACAAAAAUGAAAUAGGCACCUGGGCACAGCCAUCUUGCACAACUGCUGUGUCCCAAUUAAUGAACAUGAAUAGUCCAUUAAAAAUCAGUCUUUGACAGAAAAUAUUAUU